rnacentral:lncRNA from 1 species
CUGCACAACUCAGGCUUCAAACAACAAACCCAGCCAGCUCUUCUUCUUCGGGCUGACGGUUGGACUUGGAAAAGGCAUGAAUGAAGAAAAAAAAAAAAGCAGACUUUGAGAAGGAAAACAGCUGAGUGGUAAAACAGGUGGGUGGGAUUAGGGCAGAGAAGCUGGAGGCAAAGGUCUGGGCUAUGGAUCAGCCCUCUGCCAAGCAAAGAAACACAAGUACUCAGUGCCCAAGACGAGUGGGUGAAAGCAGUGGCACAAAGCUGCACUUCCUCCCUAUGGACCCCAGGCUGAGCUGUGCGGUGCCUCCAAUGCAACGUGAGCUCGCCUUCCUCCCCCGGCACCACACGGUCAGGGGCUCUCCCCUCUCCUCAGCUGCUGUUUUCCCACAAAUCCUCAG